UCACACAUACAUGCCAACAUCCCCAAGAGGUAGUCCGCCGAGACGUUCACACAUACAUGCCAACAUCCCCAAGAGGUAGUCCGCCGAGACGUUCACACAUACAUGCCAACAUCCCCAAGAGGUAGUCCGCCGAGACGUUCACACAUACAUGCCAACAUCCCCAAGAGGUAGUCCGCCGAGACGUUCACACAUACAUGCCAACAUCCCCAAGAGGUAGUCCGCCGAGACGUUCA